rnacentral:rRNA from 1 species
AUGCCUGCAACGACUAUGUAUCUCUGCUCCUGGAAUGUUAGGGGCAUGGGUGAUGUGGACAAAUGCAAUGAUGUUCUAUCUGAACUUCUCUCUAUCAAACCUAAUAUGUUGUUACUCCAGGAAACUAAGCUUGCCACGCCCUCUAUCCCAAAAGUCAGGUCCUUCCUACCAACCUCACUCGAUUUCUAUGCCACUUCCCCUGCUACGGGCACUGUUGGAGGCUUGCUCUGUGCUACCAACACCAGCUCCCUUCAAAUCACAAACCACUCGAACCACGGUUUCUGCUCCACUCUCACCUUCACAUCUCUCGCUCUCCCUUCCCCCAUUUGCGUUACCAACAUUUACAGCCCGACUAACAGAUCAGAAAAACCUACCUUCCUCGAUGAGCUAAAAGCCAUAGCUCCCCCUGAAAAUACCCCGUGGCUAAUCGUAGGCGAUUUCAAUCUGAUUCGCUUCCCCCACGAGAAAAACAACGACAACUUUCACCAACGAGAAUCCCGCAUUUUCAAUGACACACUCGAUGAACUAGCUCUCCUUGAGCUACCUCUACUAGAUCGACAGUUCACCUGGUCCAACAACAGAGAAGCCCCUUGA